UUAAUACUCCCUCCAUCCCAUGUUAAGUGACUUUCUAUUGCAUGUAUCUAGACAUAUUUUAGUACAUAGAUACGCCCAUAUUUGAACAAAUUGAGUCACUUAAUAUGGGACGGAGGGAGUACUAC
rnacentral:pre_miRNA from 1 species